UGCCCACUGAUAAAAUUUAAAUGGCCGCAGUACCUUGACUGUGCUAAGGUAGCAUAAUAAAUUGACUCUUAAUUGGGGCCUUGAAUGAACGGAUAAAUGAAUAAUUUCUGUCUUAAAUAAACUUAAUAAAAAUUACUAAGAAGGUGAAAAUUCCUUUAAAUUUAUUUAAUAGACGAGAAGACCCUAGGAGUUUUAAAUUUUGUUGGGGCGACAGUAUAGCAUAAUUAAUAAACCUAUAUAAAAUAAUAUAUAUAAAACGAAUAAUUUUAAUAAUAAAUAAACUACCCUAGGGAUAACAGCAUAAUUUAUAUUUAAGUUUGUGACCUCGAUGUUGGACUAGGAACUUUUAAUAUUAAUAAUAUUAAUUGGUAGUUCUGUUCGA
rnacentral:rRNA from 1 species